rnacentral:rRNA from 1 species
GAUGAACGCUGGCGGCGUGCCUAAUACAUGCAAGUCGAGCGAACAGACGAGGAGCUUGCUCCUCUGACGUUAGCGGCGGACGGGUGAGUAACACGUGGAUAACCUACCUAUAAGACUGGGAUAACUUCGGGAAACCGGAGCUAAUACCGGAUAACAUGUUGAACCGCAUGGUUCAACAGUGAAAGACGGUCUUGCUGUCACUUAUAGAUGGAUCCGCGCCGCAUUAGCUAGUUGGUAAGGUAACGGCUUACCAAGGCAACGAUGCGUAGCCGACCUGAGAGGGUGAUCGGCCACACUGGAACUGAGACACGGUCCAGACUCCUACGGGAGGCAGCAGUAGGGAAUCUUCCGCAAUGGGCGAAAGCCUGACGGAGCAACGCCGCGUGUGUGAAGAAGGUCUUCGGAUCGUAAAACUCUGUUAUUAGGGAAGAACAAAUGUGUAAGUAACUAUGCACGUCUUGACGGUACCUAAUCAGAAAGCCACGGCUAACUACGUG